GUCCCAAAAUAAGUGCAUUUUUGUACUAUAUUCAUGUCCAACGUUUGACCGUUCGUCUUAUUUGAAAUAUUUUUAUGAUUACCAUUUUUACUGUUAUUAGAUGAUAAAACAUGAAUAGUACUUUAUAUGUGACUAUUUUUUUUAGUUUUUUCAUAAAAUUUUCAAAUAAGACGGACGGUCAAACGUCGGAUACGGAUUUUCAUGACUGCACUUAUUUUGGGACGGAUGUA
rnacentral:pre_miRNA from 1 species